rnacentral:rRNA from 1 species
AUUGAACGCUGGCGGAAUGCUUUACACAUGCAAGUCGAGCGGCAGCGCGGGGCAACCUGGCGGCGAGCGGCGAACGGGUGAGUAAUGCAUCGGGACAUGUCCAUGUCGUGGGGGAUAGCCCGGCGAAAGCCGGAUUAAUACCGCAUACGCUCGAGAGAGGAAAGCCGGGGACCGCAAGGCCUGGCGCGAUUGGGUUGGCCGAUGUCCGAUUAGCUAGUUGGUGAGGUAAAGGCUUACCAAGGCGAUGAUCGGUAGCUGGUCUGAGAGGAUGAUCAGACACACUGGGACUGAGACACGGCCCAGACUCCUACGGGAGGCAGCAGUGGGGAAUUUUGGACAAUGGGGGCAACCCUGAUCCAGCCAUUCCGCGUGAGUGAAGAAGGCCUUCGGGUUGUAAAGCUCUUUCGGCAGGAACGAAACGGUGGGGGCUAAUACCCCUUGCUAAUGACGGUACCUGAAGAAGAAGCACCGGCUAACUACGUGCCAGCCGCCGCCGUAACAC